UAAGCCGGUCUCUUGCUGAUAUCUCCAUAUGCCCGUCAUCGAGGGCUGGUGCUUAGUUUAGUAACCUGUGCUGUAGUUUUGCUGUGCAAUUGAGAUAGCAGCCAGCGCUUAAGGGCACAAACCAUAGUUAGCACGAACCGUAAUCGUUGUGCCUGCCUUAGUUCCUUGUUUGGUAGCUAGAGUUAAGAACUGUGCAUGUUUUUAAGCUUUUUGUAUGAUGGGCGCGAGGCUGGCUGGUUCACAAACCUGCCUGGCUCGAACGCCUCAACACAUUGGGCCUUUUCUUUGCGGUUGUGAUUCAGUGAUGGCUGUUUUCGUGGCAUUUUGGUUUCCUUUUGGGUAGAAUUAACCUUCCCCGAGUCCUUUGGAAAGGCUGGACUGGAAAGGCAACUUGCCAGCCAACUGAACAAAUACUGCCAAAUUAGUACAGAAAGAGAUCUUGUCAUGCUUUGAGCCUAUGUAAAUGGGACUGAGGAACUUCCCCUCUUAAUCUGGGCUGGAGUUCUGUUUCCUUUCUUUCCUGAGCAUCGGAACUGUAUGGUAGUAGGUUUUCGACAGCCGAAGUAAAUUCUUUGCGAAUCUCAGGACCGGCACAGAGCUACUUUGCAUGUGCCGCUAAACCGAACUGUAGCUUAGCAUUAAGGAGGAUAUUGACAAGCUGGAACGUGUGCCGGAAGACAGAGACCAAGAUUAUAAAGGUAUUUAGGAGGAACGGUUGAGGUAGUUGGGUGCCUGUAGAAGAGAAGACAGAGCUGCUAUGAGAGCCAUCUUCAAAUAUCUGAGAGAGCCAGUGUGGUGUAGUGGUUAAGAGCGGUGGACUCGUAAUCUGGUGAACCGGGUUCGAUUCCCCGCUCCUCCACCUGCAGCUGCUGGGUGACCUUGGACCAGUCACACUUCUCUGAAGUCUCUCAGCCCCACUCACCUCACAGAGUGCUUGUUGUGGGGGAGGAAGGGAAAGGAGAAUGUUGGCCGAUUUAAGACUCCUUAAAGGGAGUGAAAGGCGGGAUAUCAAAUCCAAACUCUUCUUCUUCUUGAGGGGCUGCCCCAUGGAAGAUGGGGGCAAGCUUGUCUCCUGCUGCUGCAGAGGGUAGGAGUCGAGCCAGUUUGAUUCAAAUCACAAGAAAGGAGAUUCCCACCAAAUUUAGGAAGAACUUUUUGACCAGAAGAGCAAUUCAUGGUGGAACAUGCGACCUCGGAAGGGAUUGUUUAGUUGUGGUUCUUGCUUUGUGGGGGUUCAAAAUAAACCACAAGCCUGGGUUCAGGUGGCACGUUGAGCCAAACCAUGGUUUAGCUCUCAGCAGCAGCACAGUGGCUGCAAUUUCCAUUUUUAACAUUUAUAGCUUAAACAGAAUUUCAUGUUGGGGAUGGGGGAGCUCCUUUUGAGAGAAGGUGGCAAGUAGAAGUCUGGUUAUGGUGCUUUCUCUUAAGAGACAUUUUGCUUUCUUCAUAUUUAUAUACCUACUUAAUUUAUGCAGUCAUACCUCGUGUUGCAUUUGCUUCAGGUUGAGCGUUUUCAGGUUGCGUCCUGCGGCGACCUGGAAGUACCGGACAGGGUUACUUCCGGGUUUCACCGCUCGCGCAUGCGCAGACGCUCAAAAUGACGUUAGGCACAUGUGCAGAAGCGGCAAAUCGCAACCCGCGCUUGCACAGACGCGGGUUGCAUUCUGCUCAUGUUGCGAACGGGGCUCCAGAGUGGAUCCCUUUUGCAACCAGAGGUACCACUGUAUAGCGUUCCCAUAACAGAAGUACUCUAGGAAGCCAGUGUGGUGUAGUGGUUAGAAUGUUGG